UGCCUUCCUACAGUCCCCCAAUUUUAAAUGGAGACCUGGUAACUAGCCUAACAGAAGAGUCUGAAAUGGACAGAAGAAUUAAUGCUUACAGAGGGCACAAAUUACUGAAUAUGGAUUCUGUUAAAGCAGAAUUACUAUUUUUAGGGAGCCCAACUAGAAGAAUUUGUUCAUUGGCUAAUUAUUGUCACAUUAGUUUGGAACAUGUGAAACUCAGUUUCUGCAAGAAUGUCACCCUGGAUGUGCUUCAAAAACUUUGCGAAAACUGUAGAUGGUCACAAUGAAAUUGCGGAAACGUUGGUAGGAACAGAAGGAUCCAACUCUUCCACGAAGGCUGAGAAAUGGUUUGGU